AAGUUAAAAUCCUCAGCCUUUUGGGUUCAGGGUCGUUAUCCAGAGAACAUGUGCGAUGUACAAGGUCCAGUCUGCAGAGUGCCCAUCAGUGUUACUCUGGGUCCUUAGCUUUUCCUUUCCUUCUCUUAGCUGUGUUUCUUGGAAUAACUUUCUUUCACGUUUCUGGGUGCUUCUCUGCAGGUGGAAAGCCUCUAUGCAGAAAGCAUGGUGGUGUCACAUCGAGGAUCUGACCUGUCCCUUUGUCGCUGCAGAGCCGUGAGCAGAUUCCUGAGUCUCCCAGAACCUUACCUUCCUCCUCUGUCAAGGGGAGUAAGCGCUCCCCGCUUCUGGAGCCGCAAGUGUUUUCCAGAGGAGCGAGUGAGGUAGCACCGGCCAUGGAGCCCGAUGGCCAUUACGUCCUCUCUCUCCUGUUCCCCUGCCUGGGUCUGUGUCCCCUCUACAGAGGACCCUAUCAGUGCUGGUAUGGGCGGCUUGACCUGCUGCAGUUCAUUUCUCUGCUGAGUCAUUUAGUCAUCCAUCCACCUGUCUUCCGUCUGUCUGUCCGCCCAUUUAUCCAUUCCUUCAUCUGUCCCCAUCCACUUAUCAUCCAUCUGUCCAUCUGUUCAGCUCUCACACAACCACCCACCCAUCUUCCAUCCAUCCAUCCACCCUCCACUCCCCGGCUCAUUGAUUCCAUUCAGUGUAUAAUACAUGGUUGCCUAAUCACGCCUCAUACAUUUCUACUGGAUAGUUUCAGGAACAGAAAGCAGCAGUCAACACAACAAUGAUCACAACAUGGCUUUGGAAACAUAAGCUUCUUCCUGCCAGCUUCCUUGGGGAGCAGGUGGUUCUGACCUUGAAGGCAGGACGUAUGGAACCAAGAGUACUUUAAUGGCUUUUAAACUGGUUUUACCAGAAUCUAAAGACUCUGGUUGGGCCAAGGGGAUUAGAGGGAGAACUGUGACUUCACACAAAGGAACUGUCCUUCUCAUCUGCUUAUAUAUAGGGGUCUCCGUUUAAGAUUUGAUUUAGAAAAAAUAAGUGUCGAUCUGCUCAGUAAAACUCUGCAGUAGGAAAACAGCUUUAAUUGAAAGAUGGGGAGAGCCGAGCCCUCCUGUCUCUCUGUCCUCAUGGUGUCGGACUUGGACUCAGGAAAUCUGGGUGUCUUCACCCCUGAGGUGGGUGCCCUGUGACCCUGCUCAUCCCUCGCACAGUCACGCAUUUCAGAUAUGAAAGGAAAGUGGAGAAAGAUUGUUUUCCAUCUUGCUAACCAUAGAAUAAAAAUAAAAUCACUCACCUGCACAGAGCUUUUAGUACUCAGCAUGCUAUGUGCUAAGAAUUAAAUGGAUGCUUGCAUUUGACCCCCUAAAACUUGUGUGGUGGGUGCUGUGAUUAUCUUCGCUCAUCUGAGGAAGGAGCUGAGAAGAAGAGGCAUCCAUGCACCCGUGCAGUCAGUGGUGAAGCUGGGAUCUGAACGCAGGAAUCAUCACCAAGAUUUUACAGUGAGCACAGGGGAGACGGCGGGGCUGUAACCUCCAAUGACCUAAAACUUCCGAUUCUUAGACUGAGAAAGGACAGCGGGGCUGACUGAAGUAGCCGUGACAGAGACUGUCUGUCUCGCAAGUCUAAAAGUACACGACCCAACUCUACUUAAAAGUUGUGGUGUUUGAAGAGUGACUGGAGGUCUGACGUAGUCUGUUCUUACAACACCCUUUCUUCCUCCUCUGGGAAGCCCUCUGUACUGGAGAAAAGUGGGCAGACUCGCUGAAGGAAAGGAGGUGCCCAGUGCUGGACCAGUGGAACCGCUUCCUGAGGGGCCUUGUGCAGAGUCUGUCCAGUCUUCCCAGCUCAGCAGGGAUGAGUAUUUCAGUGCAGACACUGGGAUCCUUCGUGGCUCCAGUGCUGAGAGCCGGAUUCAGCAGUAUAUCCAGUUCUCCAGCGCAGAUGGCUCAGAGCCUGGCUGGCUUUUGCCUGCUGUUGGAACCGCCCCGCGGUCCUGGCACCUGGAAAAACAGAGCCUCUUAAUGUUUCCCCUCCGGUCACCACCUUCCAACUCUCACUGCUAAGAGGAGGAGAAAUCAGCUUUUAACACCCUCCGGGCGGCCUUCCUUCUGCAUUCGAUCUGGCAAAGUGGAGAGAGGUCACUGGGGCCCACGGAGUGAGCGGGAGGCCUUGUCAUCGGGCCGCGUGCGAACCGGGUGAUCAGAGGCGCAGCGGGCCGGGUAGCCUGGAACUCACCUGGCAGAUAUUACGGGAGGGCCGGCGCGGCACGCCAAGUGUGAGUGCCGACAGGGCGCGUCGGGGAAGUCAGCCAGUGCUGUUAGGCAGCAGUGUUCUCUCACGCCGUCUCCUGCUGGCUUUCUAGUUAGGGGCUCCCCGGGGCAGUUGGUUGGCAUUGAAGAAUUGGCCAGAAGAAUCGGAGCAGCAACUGUGUGGGGUUCGGCACUGCUGGGGCUGGAACAAGGGUUUUUCUAAAUCCUUUUUCCUCCCAUCAUCCCCUCUGGAACCAGGACUUGCCACCUGUGACCCCCGUUUGCAAGUGUGGUGCGGGGCCCUAGGCCCACACUUCUGGGGUUUGAGUCCCAGGCCUCCCACUUCUCAGCUGGGUGACCUGCAGCAGGUAACUCAACCUCUCUGUGCCUCAGUUUCCUCAUUGGUAAAGGAGGGAGGAUAACAGCAUACACCUAGGCAGGGGGUGGUUGGGAGUUAGGAGGGUGCAAAGAUGAACUCAGCUCACCCUCCCAGCACUGGCUUUCCAUUCCCCGGAGGAGGAGGCUGAGGCUCAGAGAGGGAAAGCAGCUUUCCUAAAGGCACACAGUUGGCGGGAGGCAGAGCAGGGAUUGAAGCUGAAACCCAGUGAUCCUAUUUCUAAGCCCUCAUGACCUGGGAAGGGUAUGGCCUUACCCCAUUUUGCACCUGAAAAAAAUAUUCAGCUAAAGAAUAAGCAACCAGUUGAAUAUUCAAAGCCAGGUCUUUCCACUCACAUUGUGGAGGACACUGAAGAGGAAGAAAGGGGAACGGCCUCCUCUCAGGGCUUCUCUUUCUCCGGUGCCGAAUCUGCAGUCCGUGUCCCUGCAGCCCUGUGUCUUUGGAAUGCAGAGCAGCAGCCCGGGGCUCCGAAGAGUCCCCUAGCUUGGCCAAGGUCACCACUUUUGCCUAUUUCCGCUUCCGGACCAGCGGGCCGGGCUCUCAGCCCCAGGGCCGCUGAGAAAAGGCUGCUGAACCCACAUGCCCUGGUUGGACUAGGUCUUGGCCAAACAUCCAUCCCCAAGGGCCAGGGAGCGGGGCUGGUAGGCAGAGGUGCCCUAAUUCAAUCCAGCUCGGCUUCCAUCUUGCCUCUUGCAAGGACUCGGGGCUCAAGGGCAAAACUCUGGUGAACUCCAGAAGCAGCAAGGACAAAGGAGAACUAAUUAAGACUGAAAGCAAAACGGCCCCAAGCGCCGCCUCCUGUCCCUAUAGAGACCCUGGUAGCCCGUAUUUUGCUUCCUUGCCGACAGCCCCAGUGCGUUCUCAGAGCCCUGUGUGCACUGAAGGGAGACCCCUAGUCCGGGUCGGAGAGGGGGCCGCCUGAGGAGAAGGCAGCUGUGAAUCUGCAGAUGCACGGAUUAAAAUCAGACAGCCCUGCUCCAUGCAGGGUUCUGCCCCGGUGACUCUAGCUACCCCUGCUCCACUUUCUUUCACAUUCAAUACGCAGCAUUGAGGUAAACUCGGAGCUGGACAAAUGGCCUGUGGCCGUCCAGGAAUAGUGGCUCCUUCAUUCAUCCUGGUGAUAACCUCCAAUUCCUUUCUCUCUCUCUUCAUUUUUGAACAGCCAUGUGGACAGAAUAGCCCAGUGCUUUUUUUUUCUUUUUUAUGAUUUUGUAAAGGAUGAUAAUACUGACUCCCUCAGCUAUGUUAACUUCAUGGCUCCAUCCUGCAAAAUGACAAAUA